rnacentral:tRNA from 1 species
CACUUUGAAGCUAAUAUUAGCAUUUAACUGUUAAUUAAAAGGUAGCCUUAAAGGUCAAAGUGA